rnacentral:rRNA from 1 species
UACGUAGGGCGCAAGCGUUGUCCGGAAUUAUUGGGCGUAAAGAGCUCGUAGGCGGCUUGUCACGUCGGAUGUGAAAGCCCGGGGCUUAACCCCGGGUCUGCAUUCGAUACGGGCUAGCUAGAGUGUGGUAGGGGAGAUCGGAAUUCCUGGUGUAGCGGUGAAAUGCGCAGAUAUCAGGAGGAACACCCGUGGCGAAGGCGGCUCUCUGGGACGGUACUGACGCUGAGACGCGAAAGCGUGGGGAGCAAACAGG